rnacentral:lncRNA from 1 species
GAAAGGUGUAUCGAAUGACAAUCCAUUGAUAGCAUCGAUCGACACUUUCUCAAGACCAACAAACAACAGUUGACGUCUUAGAUCUAUACAAUAGAUAUUCUAAACAAUCGGAAGUUGAUAGAUUAUUUCUUAGUUUGAGUUCUAGAAUAUCCAAUAUACAACCUUAGUCUCUAUACUACUAUACUCCUGAUUGUAUGAAUAGAAACCCUAAGUC